CUUUUGAAUGCGGCAGAUACGGAAGUGUUUCAUUCUCAAAAAUACGCUGUGUUGUGGUGAUUGGAGCUACAUUUUUUGUAAAUGUAUUUUUCGUUUAAGACAUUACAAAACUGCGAUUUUCCAAACUGAACGGAGGGAUGUCCUUGAAAACGUACUGUUUAGAGUUAGUGUUUGAAGAGGUCAAGAGCGUUGUGACAAAAACAAUGAAUAAACAGACAGUUUAAUAUUAAAAUGUAAUGUGCUGCAUUCUUGACAGACAUAUGAUUAUUCAACUAGGAUAUGCUAUAAAAAGACUUGCACUCAAAUGAAUUUUAAUUUUGUUUAUGAAUCCUUUUAUUCAAACCGCAUUUAUUCAAACCGCAAAUGAAGAUUCGUUUGUGAACAUUAAUCGGUGAAUAUCAUUUUACGAUAGAAUGACAAAUUUAACCAGAUAAGAAUUGAAAAAAAAAACAAGAUGCUGACUCCAGAAAUAUCAGUGGCAAAAUCAGGAGGAACAACAGUAACACAUUGUAAACAUAAAUAUGCUCAUGUAAAGACCCAUGAAACAAUAACCAUAUGUACCUGAUGCCUUUGCAGAAGUCAGAGCACCAAGAGAAUCACAAUUCACGACGAAGCAAGAUACAGGGGACAAUCAUCAAAUCAUUCCGUCCCUUCGAGGAUUAAAUACAAAGCUGUCAAGGAGACCUACACCUGAUACGUCAUUCCGCAAUGAAAGAGAAACUGUGAAAAAAGGUUUGUGAACAUUAAACAUGCAGUGUGUCGCAGAACAGUACGGCCAGAGCCUUCUUCAUUAGAGCGUGAAUAAUGAUCGGAAAUAGCUAUGCCCGAGAAUCUAACGACGUUUAUAAAUUACAUCUCCAUAGCAGUCAGGUUGUGAUAUACAUUGUUGCAAGUGUCAAAAUUUAAUUACGAAGUUAAAAAAUUUAGAAACGAUUAACAAAGCAUUAAAAAAGGUAACCCUGCCGAAGAAGCAGUUAUAUUUACGAAGGUUAACUGCAGGCUCUAGCAAAUCUUAAAAGCUGUGAAAUAUAUGGCACAUCAGAUGUUGGACGGGGUACAUCUCUAUCAAGUUCUGAUGGGCCCUAUGUGCAGUCUAGAUGAACCAUUGGAGUAAAUAUGGAAGAAGGCUAUCCAAUGAACAUCCUCGCCAAGUUUCACCAACUUCAACGAAAUGGUUUCAGAUGAGAUUUCGUUAGAAGAAAUUGAAACGAAUGGAUUACAGACGGCCUGACGAAGGAAGCUAGAGAUGAGGGAUCACAAUAGCAGUACAUUUAAAUUCCAUCCGCAAAUGAAAUCUCUUUGAUGAAUAUUUACCAAACCCUCCCCUAAACAUUUUCUUUAUAUUGAUUUUUCUCAAGCUGGUUAGGUCGUGUGCGACUAAGGAAAACCAUGGCCCUCUUGUUGACUAAUAUUUAAUUUAUCAAAGAAUAUUUCCCAAAUAUAAUGACUUAUAUUAUAUCAGUCUCUUACAGGGGUUUGUCGUUCCACUUCUGCUUCAAAUAGAAGAAACUGAAAUCAAGAACAACUAUGUUAAAGAGGAUGAAUUUAUUUUGUUGAAUAUUUUUGUUAGUCCAGUGUGAAAAAAUUGUCAUAAUAAUAAUAAUAAUAAUAAAAACAUUAACAAAAUACUUUAAUAGUAUUAAGGACAGUAAUAUGAAUAAUAAUACAUUUGUAAGAGAUAAAAGUAAAAGUAAUAAUAAUAACAACAAAAUUACAAUAACAUUAGCAACAAUAAUGCUCAUAAUAAACGAAAAGUACCGGUAGUUUGGAGUCGUAAUAAAAAUAAUGACAAUAAUUUAAAGGGGCU